CUGCGCGCUGCUACCGGGAGGGGUGCAACUGUGCAGAAGUGGGCUGAAGACAAUAACAUUGAAUGGCGGUUUCACCUGCCCUACAAUCCAACAGGAGCAGGCCUAAUAGAAAGAUACAAUGGGAUCCUGAAGGCUGCUCUGAAGGCAGAUUCACAGUCCUUGCAGGGGUGGACCAAAAGGCUUUAUGAAACCCUGCGAGACUUGAAUGAGAGACCAAGAGAUGGCAGACCCAGUGCUUUAAAAAUGCUGCAGACAACUUGGGCCUCCCCACUUAGGAUACAAAUUACAAGCAAGGACACCUCACUCAAGCCACAAGUUGGCACAAUGAAUAAUCUUCUGCUCCCUGCCCCUGAUGACCUAGAGCCCGGGAGACACAAGGUAAAAUGGCCUUGGAAGGUGCAAGCAGGACCAAAAUGGUGUGGUCUCCUUGCACCUUGGGGGAGAUUGUUAGAGGUUGGGGGAUCAGUAAACCCUUCAGUAAUCGGUGUAUGGCCAACAGAGGUAAUAGUUGACACCCCUGUUUUCAUUGCAAGGGGGACAUUAAUCAUGUCCAUGUGGCAAAUUAGAACCCCCCCUUUGGUACCCGAUAUAGUGAUUCAGUCGCAGAUUUCGGGCCAAAGAGUGUGGUAUCGAAGGCCAGGACGUGCCCCGAUACAGGCAGAGGUGUUGACUCAAGACCGAAAUACAGCCUGCAUCUUACCGUGGAGGGCAGACCUACCCCUCCUCGUACCUAUUAAACAUCUGUUUUACUCCCCUUGAGGUUUUAAGUUCACAGGAUGGCCCGCAGGAGCAACAUCACUCAAACACGCUUAUGAGGAAACAUCAUGACACCCUGUGACGCACUGCUGAACUUUUGGGGACUGGAGAGCAUGAAUCAGAAGCGCUACUGGUCCUUGAAAAAGAUACGCCUCGAGAAAGAACAUCAAGUACUGGCCCAACAGAACCGUGAAGGGGACUGCCACUGAUUGCCUUUAUUGUUUUGACAUUCUAUAUUGCGGCGGGUGUUGUGUAUGCGUCGCGAUGUGCAUUGUGUCUUGGGCCACCAGGUUGCAGGGGCUCACCCCCUACCUGCUCAGUCAUUGGUUCAUGCUGUGAAGGGGUGGAGUGUAGUGGAAUUCCAGGGUCACAGCCUGAACCAAUGGGUGGGCUCUGUGAGUGUGUGAGUGCGGCGGCGCGGCGGUACGAACGGGGGAGGGACACAUUCCUCAGCUCGGCUCGGUCUGCGCGCUGCUACCGGGAGGGGUGAGUUGAUUCUUUUUGAUAUCUUUCCCUCGUGUGCCUAUUUCUUAAAUAAAGGCUUUGUCAUCACCUU
ensembl:lncRNA